rnacentral:rRNA from 1 species
GACGAACGCUGGCGGCGUGCUUAACACAUGCAAGUCGAACGGAAAGGCCCUGCUUUUGUGGGGUGCUCGAGUGGCGAACGGGUGAGUAACACGUGAGUAACCUGCCCUUGACUUUGGGAUAACUUCAGGAAACUGGGGCUAAUACCGGAUAGGAGCUCCUGCUCCAUGGUGGGGGUUGGAAAGUUUCGGCGGUUGGGGAUGGACUCGCGGCUUAUCAGCUUGUUGGUGGGGUAGUGGCUUACCAAGGCUUUGACGGGUAGCCGGCCUGAGAGGGUGACCGGCCACAUUGGGACUGAGAUACGGCCCAGACUCCUACGGGAGGCAGCAGUGGGGAAUAUUGCACAAUGGGCGGAAGCCUGAGGCAGCAACGCCGCGUGCGGGAUGACGGCCUUCGGGUUGUAAACCGCUUUCGCCUGUGACGAAGCGUGAGUGACGGUAAUGGGUAAAGAAGCACCGGCUAACUACGUG